UUGACGAUGGGCAGUGGCUAUGAAGACGCAGCAGUAGCUGCGUCGACGGUGACUGGAUGACGACGUGACAACUAUGGAGGAUGAUGGGUUGUGGCUAUAGAUUUUUGCCACUGUUCGUAGUGACGACGAAGCAGACGAAGCAGUAGCAGCUGGGUUGUUUGGACGUCGAUUGGAGGUCGUUUGGAGUUGUUGUGAAGGGGUCGUUGUAGGAGGGUGGACGUUAGGACGAGCAGCCAUGUCGUCGUCAUUUGGCUAUGGAGAUGUGACGAAUAGAGUGAAGGGAUGUUCGCCAUGGCUGUGUGACGACGAUGAAGAAGAGGCAGUGGGGGUUUGUCUCCGGCGUGAGGGUGUCGUUUGGUCGGAAAAGAAGAACAGUAGUGUGAGGGUGGCGUCUAG
rnacentral:lncRNA from 1 species